rnacentral:lncRNA from 1 species
CUUGCUCCUUCUGCCGUGGGAGGACACUGUGAAAAGAAGGCUGUCUAUGAACUAGAAACUGGACCCUCACUAGACACUAAAUGGGUAACUCUCUUGGUAUCUCAACUGUGUGAUGUAAAAGCAAAUAUAUCUGGUUACAAAGUUGGCAUUUGCAACCCUGGAGAUCAUGACAUGUUGAAAUUCGAAGAGAGUGAUUCAGAGGUGGAGACGUCACCAGAAGAAAGCCAGCUGGCCAGCUCUUGGGAAGCAUCACUGAAUAAGUUUGCCUAAGGAAGUUCACCAUGGUCUGGGGACUAACCUUAGUUGUAAAGCUUGAAAGACAAAUUUGUUCAGUCAAGGAAUGAUUGGACUGUAGUGAACUGACCCUGACACUUAUUUGUAAAAAUGAGCAGUCCCUUGGGGCUGGUCUGGUGGCACAGUGGUUAAGUUUGCAUGUUCCACUUUGGUGGCCCAGGUUCGCUGGCUUGUAUCCCAGCUGCCAUUUUGCAAGUACUUUCUGCCAGAUGACAGUUGCUGCUUUCCCACUCUCCUUCCAUGGAGAACCAUGAAGCCAUGAGAAUCUUGCACAUGGUGGCAGACAUUUAUGACAAUAUUAAAUGAACAAUAAAUAAGGAGGAUCAUUGAUGAGAAUGCGGAAUGAAGUUCUGACCAGAGAGACUAAAGCGGAAUUAUUGGAUAACAGCUUUGGAGAAUACGUUUAAA